UAAUGUUUCUGAGAGUUUCAGGUUUUCCGACGUUUUCAAUGCGCUGGUUUUCGUCCGGGUACUAUUGUUUUAUUUUAUAAAACGGAUUAAAGUAGAUCCGAAGUUUCCGUGUUUGAGUCUAAAGAAAUUCGAUCCGGUAAUUUGUGCUUCAGGAACCAACUCUGACCCUGUUUCCUUUGACCGGACCAAAAUCAAUAAACUCAAACAGAAAGAUCCGUAUGAUGAGUCCAUUAUAUGAAAAACUGGGACAAGAUGUUGGAAGUCAUCUGGAAGCGACCUAGUUGGAUUUGUAGCAAAUUACUAAGAAUUGAAGUCCACGUAAACAUUACUAGCAAACUAGUACAGUUCAUUUAUGAUGUCACCACCCACCGUAAAGUCUUUCAUUAUUUUAUGAUUACGUUGGUGCUCAAUAAUUGAAUAUACAUAAAACAUCUUCACUACAUUGUA